GGUUGUAGCUCAGUGGUAGAGUACUUACUUUGCAUGUGUGAGAUACUGGGUUCAAUCCUCAGAACCA
rnacentral:tRNA from 1 species